UACAGAGACUGCAAGCGUUAUUCGGAUUCACUGGGCGUAAAGGGUGCGCAGGCGGCCAAGUGUGUGAGGCGUGAAAGCCCGGGGCUUAACCUCGGAAUUGCACCUCAAACUACAUGGCUAGAGCAUUGGAGAGGGUAGCAGAAUUCACGGUGUAGCAGUGAAAUGCGUAGAUAUCGUGAGGAAUACCAGAGGCUAAGGCGGCUACCUGGACAAUUGCUGACGCUCAGGCACGAAAGCGUGGGGAGCAAAAGGG
rnacentral:rRNA from 1 species